GAAGCUGGAAUUGCUGUAAUGGCAGGUCAGCAUACUGCCGUGAAUACGUUCCCGGGCCCUUGUACACACCGCCCGUCACACCAUGAGAGUUGGAAAUACCCGAAGCCUGUGAGCUAACUGUAAAGAGGCAGCAGUCGAAGGUAGAGCCAAUGAUUGGGGUGAAGUCGUAACAAGGUACC
rnacentral:rRNA from 1 species